UACGAAGGGGGCUAGCGUUGUUCGGAAUUACUGGGCGUAAAGCGCACGUAGGCGGACAUUUAAGUCAGGGGUGAAAUCCCGGGGCUCAACCCCGGAACGGCCUUUGAUACUGGGUGUCUUGAGUUCGGAAGAGGUGAGUGGAAUUGCGAGUGUAGAGGUGAAAUUCGUAGAUAUUCGCAGGAACACCAGUGGCGAAGGCGGCUCACUGGUCCGAUACUGACGCUGAGGUGCGA
rnacentral:rRNA from 1 species